rnacentral:lncRNA from 1 species
AUACAGAAAUCUUAACAAAUACAAAAAAUUUAGAAAUCAAUGAAAAACAAGAAGUAAUUAAUGAAGAAAACUUAGAAAAUAGAAAUACAGAAAUAAAUACUCUUGAUAAAAAAGAAGAUGAAAAUAUAUUACCUAAAACAUCAGAAAUAAGAAAGCCUACAUAUUAUAAGAAUAAGUUUAAAAGAUAUAAUUUAAAGGAUUAAUAUGACAAAUGGACACCAAAACAAAUAGUUAAUAAAAAUUAUAACUUUUUAGACUUAGAUUGUGUAAUAGAUAUAGAAAAAAUAAUACAAUUAUGGAUAGGAUAUAUGACAAAACAAUUAUUAGAUAAUAAUAUAAACAUUCAGAUGCACCAGAAUAUAUAGAAAGAACACUAAUAGAAACAGUGAAAUUAUGGUUUUCAAAUCUAACUGAAAAUAGUAAAAGGGUAUUAAGAACUGACAACCCUACAGAAUUAAGAACUGACAAACCUACAGAAGAAACAUCAUCAACAACUACAAUUAAAUUAACACCUAUAGAAUUAUUAAAAAAAUAUGAAAUAGCUAUAAAAGACGAAUUUAGCAGCAUGACAACAAUCGAAGAAGAACAAAAUGAAGAGAAAGAUAUAAAUAGGGAUUUAAUAUUAAAAUUAGUAAUAUGUAAUAUGUGUUAUAUAGAUGAAUAUGCUUGGGCAUUUAAAGAAUAUUAUUAUAAAGGAACAUAUAAUACAGAAGAAAGUAAAUAAAUAAGAAAAUUAUAUUUNN